rnacentral:lncRNA from 1 species
UUUGUGUUUACCACCCCCUCCACUCUGCAAUGCCCACUCUGCUUCCCCCAAACGCCUCUUCUUCCUCUGCCUCUUCAGGCUCCUCCUCUCAAUCCUCAUCCUCUCCUCCCUAGCUCUGUCUUCUCCUAGCAUUCCUUUCAUGCUCCCCCCUCCAGAGCCUCCCCAUCUCCUAGAUUCUUCCCCCACUACACACUCCCAAAUUUCUCGGGAUCCUCCUCUCUCUCCACUCUCUCCUUAUCCUGGAUCUCGCUCUGCCUCUUUCUCCGGCUCCUCCUCUCUUCAAGCUCCUCCCCUCUCCCUUUUCUCUGGAUCUCCUCCUCCCCCUAUUCUCUCCGCCCCCUAACCUAAGUUCUCUCCAAGCUCCCCCUCCCACUCCAGUCCUUCCCCUUUCCUUCCCCACCGCCCUCUGGACGCUCCUCCUCUCCCUCUAGGUCUUUGGCCCCGCCCACAGAAUGAUCGAUGUGUCCGUCUGCAGGCUGGUCCUCGGUGCUCGGCUCGCCACGCCUGCGACGCUGCCAUGGAGACGUAGCCGCGGCCUCCUGGCUCUGCCCGGGACCUGGAUCCCUUGCGUCAGCAGGCCCACGCGUGUCCGCGAGCGCCGGUGGCAAAGUCUGCUUCGCUGGAGCAUCCGGGCAAGCGGUGACUUUGCUGGCCGCUGGGGCGUAGGGCUCGCAUCCUUCCUCCUUCCAGUAGCUCUCUACUCCAUAGCUGAGGACCGCUUCUCUCACCAGCGGAGAGGAGACCCUGGGACCGCCAACCGUCUGUGGGUUAUUAAGGGACCUGCGAUUGUCCAUCCGCCUCAUCCUUCCGCUCAGCUCAGCUCAGCAAGCUGCAUCCUGUCACCCUUGGUAAGAGUGGAAGACUGGCUAGAAGAAAGGACCUGAACCAACGCUUAGUCCACAUCCCCAUUGUGUUUUGAGCGGGGUGGACAGGCCAGCCCCUGCUGCAGACACCCUGGAUACAUCUCUUUGAGCUCAGCAGUAUUGCAGCGGCAGUGGACACCUGAUAAGCUUCCCAGGAGUGGUGUGGAGUCACUGUCAACACUAGAGCACUUUGUCUGGAAUGGCUCUCACGUGGCUCCUGAAUGGUCAGAGAUGUGUCUUGGAUUCUCCUGCCCUCCUGAGGAUCUUGCCUAUGGAAGGUCUAAGUUACCUACUUUCACUAUUAAGUUGAACAAGGACUCCCAAACCCAACAGCCAUCAAGGUUGUUGGCCAACUAGUUACAAAGCACAGCAGCCGGCUGUUCCUGGCCUAGGAGGAAAGCCAGGUGUGCAGGACGCUGGGCCUGUGGGAUGAGUGGGCGAGUCCCGCUGGCAGAAAAGGCCCUGUCAGAAUCCUAUGCCCGCCUCCGGUACAGGGAUACGUCCUUGCUCAUUUGGCAACAAGAGCAGCAGAAGUUGGAGUCUGUACCACCUAGUACAUACCUGAGCAGAAGCCGCAGCAUGUGGUACUCCCAGUAUGGAAAUGAGGCCAUCUUAGUUCGAGACAAAAACCAGCUUGGGGUCUCUAGGGACACUGGCCAGUCUAAGUUUUGCUCAAUCAUGUAAUUCCAGGGAGAAGACCCUUGAUGGCCAUGAAGAUCAAGCCGUGGUAUAAAAACGCAACACCCAAGAAUGUCAUCCAACACUUUAUUAGGGGCACAACAGGUACCUAGAUGCUCCUCUCACUGCCCAAGCCCAGGAAAUGCUUCCAAACAAAAGGGAAGCAAGAGAGACACACACCCCGACCCUCACCUGCUGUGAGCUGCUGCCUGAUAUAGAAUGGAUCAGGUCCAGGGUAAGGAGGUGACUCUUCUUGCAGGGUCCCAGAUCUGUCAGCUCACUGCAGUGGCAUGUGAAAGGGGGGCAGUGCUGGUAGUGACAUUACUGCGUUGUGAUAGCAUCCACACUAGCCACCAGAUGUGGCCUCUUAUAUAGGUGUGUCCUUAAGCAAAAUGUGCCCCGAAGUGAUUCCAAGCCUAAUCGAGUGUGGGGAAAGUGGAUUCUGAUGGUGACGAAUCGGAUCCUCUCUUCUACCAGGCUGCGAAGGCACUCAUUUAGAGGCUAGCACUUCCCCCCCCCCCCAUGGCUAUGCAAAUGUGGGGAUGCAUUUUGUCAAAACUGAG